GUACGAGAUCUAACCAGUCGCAACUGAUUGGAUAUCAUUGUCUCGUUCAAUUUAAUAUACAUUAAAUUGCUACACUACCGCCCAGGUUGGUUAUUGGAAUAAUACGCAAACUAAUGUGUACUAACCAAUGAGACAUAGUUAAACUUUUCAACGUUAACUUAGAGAUAGCAACUCUUUCAGGUGAAUUAAAAUUAAAAUUCCCAAAUAGCCGAUACAGGUUAGAUUUAUCAUUAAAAUCGAUUUAAUCAAUUAAACCUGUUUUGGCAAGUUCAGUAAUAACCAACUCACAUUACUGACCCAGUCUUGAUGAUUCAUUGACGUUUACAAACUGAGUUAAAUCGUGUUUGCAGCCUCCAACUAAAAACCCCAAACAUUACGUAAAUUGAAAUAACUGACAAUCAUAAUAAUGAGCAAUCCAUCAGAUGGGUUUCCACCCAUUUCCCCUCUAAUCAGUGGACCUUCACCCACGGAAAGAUUGAUCGCGGACCUCAGCAACGAUGCAAAUCCUAACUAUGCCGAGGGGCUGAAAAUGUUAGAUUUCAAUGCCAUAAGCGAGAAAAAUGCAGACAUUGCGACAGACGCUCUUCAAAAUAGACCAUCAGGCGGAGGCCUUGUGAAGGUUCUCUCCAGUUUAGCCCUCAACUAUGCCCACCAGCAGAGAUGGACAGUGCACCAGUACCUCAGUGCCCAGCAGAGGCACGAGCAGGAAGCUGGGGAGUUCAAGGUACAGGUGGAGAGAACCAGGGAGCUGGCAUCGAAAGCCGAAAAAGAUAAGCUACUGCUAGCUGAGGAACUGUGUGUGAGAACAGAUAAAUUGGAAGAUCUGUCUAACACUUAUAACAAAGAACGCGAACAAUCUCUUGACCAAGUCCGUAUUCUAAAAGAACAACUCGGUUUAGCCAAAACUAAAUACGAUGAAGUCCACGCGAAACUAGAUGAAUCGGAAGAGCUAGUUAGAAAACGGGGCGAGCAAAUUGGUGCCCUACAAACGGUUGUGAAUGAAACCACUCAAAGCAAUAAUGCUCUAUUCCAAAAGCUGCAGACCAAAGACGAUCAGUUAAUGAACACAAUGACCAAGUUGGAGGACAAAACAGCAGAACUCAUUGAAGUCGCUGAUUUAAUGAAGGAUGAGAAAGACCAGGUGAGAAAGUUGGAAAAUGUGACCUCUAAACAAAAGGAGGACAUCGCAUCACUGGAUCUCUCACUCCACACUCGCGACCUCUCCCUGCAAACCAUGACAGACAAGUAUGAGGCCGAGCGAAAAAAGGGCGACACCUACGUGUCGAAAAUAAACACCCUCAACUCCCAGGUGGACUCUGCGAUGCAGCAUAACACCACCCUUAGGUAUCAUCUGGAGGAACUCCAGAACAGUCACGCGCUAUCGCGGGACAACCAAACCAAGCAACCUAGCUCACAUCCGGAGCUAAGAGAACGAGGGAAUGUAGAUGACAGGAGAUUUCAGCCUCUUUCUCUUGGCCAUUCGGCCCACAGUGAAUUGGGGCCUCCUCGCCAACACAACCACAGCUUGACUUUUCCUCUUGGCCUCUCG
ensembl:lncRNA